UUAAAUUUUUUAAUUGUUACCCUUACUCUAACCUAGUUACACUAACCUUACACUUACUCUAAUCUAAUCAGAUUCCCUAAUCUAAUGACUCCCUCCAUUUAUUACCCCAAUUCCCACCAACCUCUUCAUUCACUCACAUCCCCAACCACCUAAAAUUUAUUACGAUGCUUUGCCUCCUCUAUUUCUUCUAGAUAUUUCUCCAGAUGAACCCUAGUUCAUCAAUUGGGGUUUUCUCUCUCCUCUUCUUCUUCGGUUUCCCACUUCCUCUCUCCAGAUCUAAACUUCUCUCCUUCUCUCUUUCUCACACUACUAGAAAAGAGCGUUUUCCGACGGAAAUUUUUCGUCGAAAACACCCUGUUUUCCGUCGGAAAACAUGUUUCCGACGGAAGCUGUCGUUGGAAAAGCAGUUGUAGGAAAAACGACAUUUUCCGACGGAAAUUCCGUCGGAAACACUUUUCCGACGGAAUUUUCAACGGAUUUUUUCCUCGAAAAAUGUUUUCCGGCACCGUCAAAAUCCGUCGGAAACUUCCGAAGGGAACAAAAUCCAUCGGAAUUUUUCGACGGAAAUUCCGUCGGAAACCGCUGCCAAAAAAAAUAAUAAGAAAAAGGCACCCCACCACCCACAACUGCUAUCAUCCCCCAACCACCAAUUUUGCCACCAAACGCCACCACCACCACCACAACACCAAUAUCAUCCCACACCACUUCCUUAACCCACCAGCCCCCUAACCCGUAUCAACAGUCCCGAACCACCCCACCACCCACAACCACCAGAACCUCUACCCACCUAACCAAAACCCACACAAACGCCACCACCACCACAUCGCUAUCAUCCCCCACCACUUCCUUAACCCACCAGCCUAGAUCUACCACAAAACCCACACAAACCACCCCACGAGCCACCUUAAACCACCACCGCCAUCGCCGAAAACAACCAUCACAACCCAAAAAUUAACAAAAAAAAAUAAAUUAAAAUCCCAACACCCAAAACCCGAACUCCAACAGCUACCAUAACCACAUAUAUUCGAUCUAGUUAACUUGACACCCAAAAAAUAAAAAAACAGAACAAAAAAAGUUGAAAUUCAGAACAAAAAACAUACCACAACGAUUCAACCAUGGUUAGUCUUGAAAUUGGUCUGAAAAUUGGUUUUAUAAGGCCAAAUUCGACCAUGAAAACGCUAGAUCUAGCAUUUCCAUGGUCGAACUUGCUCUUAAAACCAUAACACGCCAGGAAUGUGGUCGGGAAUAUGGCCAGAAAAGCUUCGUGGGCUAGCUUAAUCAACAGCAAAUUAAAGGAGAUCGAGAGAGGAGAAAUAAAGAGUAGAGAAGGAGUAGCAAAGGAGAUCGAGAGAGGAGAGAUAAAGAGAGAGGAGAGAUAAAGAAUGAAGAGAGAGAGGGAGCGCAGUGCGGCGCGGCAUGAGGGAAAGAGGAGAGUGAGGGAGAAAGGGGAACUGAAAUGGGGGGUUGGUUUUAGGGUUAGCUAUUUAUACGAAAUUUUUUACCUUUUAAAAUAAUUGUGGUCAUAUGCUUUUCCGACGGAAAAUUCCGUCGGAAAUUUCCGACGGAUUUAAGUCCGUCAGAAAUUAUUUUAUUUAUGACGGAUUUUUCAGUCGGAACAUACUUUCCUACGAAAUUUCCGCCGGAACUGUUUGAAAUCCGUCGGAAAGUUCCGACGGAAUAAAAUUCUGUCGAAAAUUUCCGACAGAAUUUUUUUCCGUCGGAAAUUUUGUGAUUUGCGAUGGAUUUUCGUGUCCGUCGAAAUUCGGCCUAUUUCUAGUAGUGUCAAACACACGUCCCCUCUCAACCAUGAUUAACCUUGAUCCCUUGAAAGAAGCUUACAUGGCCACCGACGACAAAGGUGAGGAGAACUUGAUCCAGCAUCUUAUCCACUGCUUUGAGACUAGUUCACCCUUCCCUCGUGCUUUCUAUGAGUCCAGCGAAACGGGUCCCUAUUGUACGUUAUACAACUACAGGGCUCUGGGUCAAGUGCUCAAAAGUGUUGAUGAGGAAGAAAAACAAAAGAGGGAGGAGGGACAGGGUGAGUCCCGUAGGAAGUCCCGAUUUUUUUGAGGUUCCUAUAGAAAUGGUGUCGGAAACUGGAGAGGGGAGUGCGACUCCUCCAGAAAAACCUAGAUCUAAGAGGGAAAGGCCACCCUUUAAGGUGCGUGCUACUCGGAAGGCGGCGCGUGUAGCUUUGAGAAGGAUGCGUGGGCUUCCUGAUGAGGAACUCAUCGUCCUUUCAUCUGAUGAGGAGGCUGAUGAGGCACCUCCUUCCUUGGAACCGGAAUCUGACUCUAGUUUUGUCCCUGUUGUGCACUUCUCUGUGAGGCGAAUGAACCCUAGGGUUCAACCCUCCGAUUAACUGCUCUCAUUUCUGUUGCUGUUGAAGGACUAGUUGAUGAUGGUUUUUGAGGAGAUGAAGCAGCCCUUCCUUUUGUGUAGAUGAAGCAAUGAUGUUGACGGGUUUAUGUGAAGAUUUUGUGCAGCACUAAUUAAAUUUUUUGACUAAUUAUGGGCUAAUUUAGGGUGCUUAGUGCUAACUUUUGUCAAACAGUUUCAUGAUUUGGAAAAUUGAUUGUUUGUAAUUAAUGGGUGAACAUUUAAUGGCUUUUGGUUGUUGGGGGCUAGUAUUUAUAAGCCUCUCAAACAAUGAAUGGAAUGUGGGAAUGAUCUCAUAAAUUUUAAA